UACAGAGGGGGCAAGCGUUAUUCGGAAUUAUUGGGCGUAAAGGGCGCGUAGGCGGCUUGGCAAGUGGAAGGUGAAAUCCCUCGGCUCAACUGAGGAACUGCCUUCCAGACUGCUUUGCUUGAGUCCGGGAGAGGUGAGUGGAAUUCCCAGUGUAGCGGUGAAAUGCGUAGAUAUUGGGAGGAACACCAGUGGCGAAGGCGGCGAGCUGGACCCUUUCUGACGCUGAGGCGCGAAAGCCAGGGGAGCGAACGGG
rnacentral:rRNA from 1 species